rnacentral:lncRNA from 1 species
UUGAGCUCUGAGGAGAUGGCUCCGUGCUAGGAAUGAUGAUGUAGCAUUUGCGCCAUAAAAUGAUCCAAUGAAGCGCAUCUGCCAGUGUCCUUUCCCCGUCGCCUCUCGGGAGGUCGAGCUCUAGGCCUUCAUAUUGGCUAUCAACAAGCUGCUCUACGCGGACACUGGUGUAGCCAGGUGGAAUCUCUAUGCCAUGAUUGCUCUGCCCUGCCAGGGUUGGUAACGCACUCCCGUACGCC